rnacentral:rRNA from 1 species
AUCUAGGACCAUACCACCCUGAACGCACCCGAUCUCAUCUGACCUCGAAAGCUAAACAGGGUUGGGCCUGGUUAGUACUUGGAUGGGAGAAACAGGGUCUCCCUAUGUU